AUGAUUUGUAUAGCCUCCUAUAGAGUUCGUAAAUAAGAAAAUGAUCUAUUUGAUACUAUGGAUGACUAGUUACGAGGGGGCCAUUUCGUUUUUGUAGGAUGGUCCAGCCUAUUGCUCUUUCCUUGUGCUUAUUUCAUUUUAGGGGGUUGGUUUAGGGGGACAACUUUUGUAACUUGAAAGUAUACCUAUGGAUUGGCUAGUUCUUAUUUGGAAGGUUGUAAUUUCUUAACUGCAUCAGUUCCUACCCCUGCAAAUUGUUUAUCGACCCUUUGUUGGGGGGUGCGAAAGCACAAGGAGAUUUUACUCGUUAAUGUCGAUUAG
rnacentral:rRNA from 1 species